rnacentral:tRNA from 1 species
AAAUAUGAAGCAAUUAAUUGCAAUUAGUUUCGACCUAAUCUUAAGUACCCAUUUUAAGUACUCAUAUUUU